UCUGCCACCUACUAUGAUUUUUGCUUGCGCCUUCAAGCUUUAAUUUUUUUAUUCAAAAAUAUUUUAGUUGCGAAUCAUGCAUUUUAUAAAUUUUCGAGAUUAUAGAAAAAAGACCGUAAUCCUCACUCCAGGGAAGGUUUGUUUUAUUGUAGAGUCGGUGAGUGCAAAUUUUAUAUCGCGGGAGUUGAUAAACUUUUAAAUUAAAAAGCAAUGUAUGAAGUUUUAACAAAGGCACACUUACUAAAGGUUACAGUUAAGCAAGGCAUUUAUUUAAAGAGAACAUUUAAUUCAAAAAAUCCACUUUCAACAA